rnacentral:rRNA from 1 species
UGCAGUCGAACGCUGAAGCUCCAGCUUGCUGGGGUGGAUGAGUGGCGAACGGGUGAGUAACACGUGAGUAACCUUCCCUUGACUCUGGGAUAAGCCCGGGAAACUGGGUCUAAUACCGGAUAUGACCUCCUGUCGCAUGGUGGGGGGUGGAAAGAUUUAUCGGUCUUGGAUGGACUCGCGGCCUAUCAGCUUGUUGGUGAGGUAAUGGCUCACCAAGGCGACGACGGGUAGCCGGCCUGAGAGGGUGACCGGCCACACUGGGACUGAGACACGGCCCAGACUCCUACGGGAGGCAGCAGUGGGGAAUAUUGCACAAUGGGCGCAAGCCUGAUGCAGCGACGCCGCGUGAGGGAUGACGGCCUUCGGGUUGUAAACCUCUUUCAGUAGGGAAGAAGCCUUCGGGUGACGGUACCUGCAGAAGAAGCGCCGGCUAACUACGUGCCAGCAGCCGCGGUAAUACGUAGGGCGCGAGCGUUAUCCGGAAUUAUUGGGCGUAAAGAGCUCGUAGGCGGUUUGUCGCGUCUGCCGUGAAAGUCCGGGGCUUAACCCCGGAUCUGCGGUGGGUACGGGCAGACUAGAGUGCAGUAGGGGAGACCGGAAUUCCUGGUGUAGCGGUGAAAUGCGCAGAUAUCAGGAGGAACACCGAUGGCGAAAGCAGGUCUCUGGGCUGUUACUGACGCUGAGGAGCGAAAGCAUGGGGAGCGAACAGGAUUAGAUACCCUGGUAGUCCAUGCCGUAAACGUUGGGCACUAGGUGUGGGGGACAUUCCACGUUUUCCGCGCCGCAGCUAACGCAUUAAGUGCCCCGCCUGGGGAGUACGGCCGCAAGGCUAAAACUCAAAGGAAUUGACGGGGGCCCGCACAAGCGGCGGAGCAUGCGGAUUAAUUCUAUGCGACGCGAAGAACCUUACCAAGGCUUGACAUGUUCUCGAUCGCCACAGAGAUGUGGUUUCCCCUU